GGCUCUGUGGCCUAAUGGAGAAGGCGUCUGUCUCCUAAACAGAAGAUUGUGGGUUCGAGUCCCACCAGGGUCG
rfam:Strongyloides stercoralis strain PV0001 genome assembly, scaffold: SSTP_contig0000007